rnacentral:tRNA from 1 species
UUGGUGUAAAGAGCACGUAAAUUUUUGGUGUUUGAGGUGGCUACAGGCGACCAAA